AGGAUGAACGCUGGCGGCGUGCCUAACACAUGCAAGUCGAACGUCCUGUCUCGCAAGAGGCAGGGAGUGGCGGACGGGUGAGUACCACGUGGGUUAUCUACCGUGAGGUGAGGAAUACCGGCGAGAAAUCGCCGACAAGACCGCAUAGCCUCGGUGCAAGCCGAGCAAAGCUCUUUCGAGAGAGGGAGCGCCACACGAGGAGCCUGCGCCCGAUUAGCUAGCUGGUGGAGUAACGGUUCACCGGGGCGACGAUCGGUAGCUGGUCUGAGAGGACGAUCAGCCACACUGGGAUUGAGAACGGCCCAGACUCCUACGGGGGGCAGCAGUGAGGAAUUUUCGUCAAUGGGGGCAACCCUGAACGAGCAACGCCGCGUGCAGGAAGAAGGUUUUCGGAUCGUAAACUGCUUUUCUCGGGGAAGAGAACGGACGGUACCCGAGGAAUCAGCCCCGGCUAACUACGUGCCAGCAGCCGCGGUAA
rnacentral:rRNA from 1 species